GACUCAAGAACGACGGCAGCUCAUCGAUCGGCGCCCUACAGCCCUCGCCUCGGUAGCCGCCGCCCGUUACCGGUCGUGCGCCGCCACCUGUAGGCGCGUCGCCGCCGCGUCGUGCUCCUCGGCUCCGUCUGCAGGUACUCGCCCGGCGAGUUGGAGGCCUCGCUGGCCUCCGGCGGCGGCCGCGUCUCCCGGAAGUCGGCCGUCCACAGGGACCCGUCGCCGCAGUGCCACUACCCGUACCUGUCUCCGCCCUCCUUGCCGCCGUCCGGGCCCGUCGCGCGCGAGGGCGCGUCGCCGUUCUCGGAGCCACACGAGUUGGUGUCGCCGCCGGAGCCGGGCCUGCCGCGGGGCGCGUCCCCGCCGCUGAAGUCGUACAAGGCCUGGUUCAGGUGCGAGUCGUUCGUCUUGAGGUACGACGGCAGCUCCUAGUUCCUCCUCGAGCUGCCGCAGCUGGACCUGGCGCAGCUCCCGGUCGGGCGGCCGUCCGGCCGGCUGCACCUGGGAGAGUUGUUCUCGCAGGGGCGGCCGGCGAUGAAGCGGCGCGAGGCGCCGGGGCUCGAGCUGCUUCAGGCGCUGAUGCUCCUGUAGGACGACGGGUUCCUGCUCCACACCGGCAAGGACGACGCCAAGGGCUAGCCGACGAAGCCCCAGACGGACCCCGAGCCGUCGGUCCGGUAGGACACCCCGCGCGACCGCCGCUCGGGCCGCUACCCCAAGGAGGCCCACUGCGGGUACUAGUUGCAGCGGCACACCGACGACCGCUGCCGCCACGACCACCGGUGCAGGCAGUGGAUGCGCGAGUUCACGCAGAAGAUGAAGCUCCGGUAGGCCGCGCUCAAGAAGGUGGGCCACGCGCAGUUGAAGAAGAAGUGCGGCAGGUAGCGGCGGUACAAGGAGCGGUAGCCGGAGGGGGCGCGGAAGCGCGGCCGCUCCGACGUGGGCCGGCACACCACGCGCAAGCACCGCGGCGACAAGCGCGACCUCGAGUUCUAGAUGCCCGUCACCGACAGCCCGCCGUUCGCCUCCGACACGUUCCACCGGUUGGGCAGCAGCGUGGACAGGCACCACCCGUUGAAGCACCCGCGGUAGGACCGCCGCUCCCAGCCCACCCUCCUCCGGCCGUUCAAGGACACCCGGUAGCCCCACAGGGUGAUGUAGCAGCAGAAGCAGUGCGAGAUGGUCGCCGACGGGUGGUUGCUCCGCGACGGGUACCUCGACGUGGGCCAGAUGAGGUACAAGUAGCGGUGCGGCAGGCGGCGGUCGGAGCGGACCCGCCGGUAGAUGCCGUCGAAGCUGCGGCAGCGCGCGUGGAAGAAGAAGUACCGCGAGAAGGAGAUGUACAGGGAGCAGCACGCGUAGUUGAAGAAGGCACCGAAGGCCAAGAGGUAGCGCACCACCAGGAUGUGCAAGGGGUACUGCUGCCGCAGCGACCGGUGGCAGUUCAUGCGGCUCCGGCACGGCACGAAGUGGUCGUCUCGGGAGCGCGACUCGGAGAGGGAGUACAGCUGCUGGUACCACAGCGACGACGAGCACAGCUGCGAGGACGUGCGGAAGAUGACCGCGAGCGACAAGGGGUUGCUGGAGCGGUAGCGGUAGUGGUUCCUGGCCGUCUCGCCGCGCCCCUCCGGCGUGCCGUUCCCCUCCUUCCGGCCGUUCUCCCACUUGCUGUAGUUCGCCACCCGGUUCGUCCACGGCGAGAGUCAGCAGAGGAGGUAGUGGUUCUCGUUGAGACGUCUGUUCCUUCUUCUCCUCUUUUGUCUGAUCAACACGUAUGAUACACACUAAUUUGUCGUAAUGUCGUAAGGUACCGAACUAGUCGUAUUUAUUCUGUGAAUAUUAUGAUACAAUUAACAACAUUCGAUCUCGAUCUUCCUUGUGAUAGAUACCUAACUAGUGUUCUCUCGACAUGUAGAGAAUCGAAUAAGAGUAAAGAGUCAUCUUGACCGUAAUAUCCCACGUUUCUUUCGGGUGUCCCAAGGUGCAAUUGAAGGUUAGUGUCUUUUCUAUUUGUAUGCUGAGAACUUGUUUAUUUUACAGAUUUUCCUCUUGGCGGCGACAAGCAGUUGCAUGUAACGCGUGUUACUUGAGUGAAUAAAUUAUGGACGACUAGUUGUGUUUUAGUAGUAGUAGGUCUUGGACGUGGAGAAAGACAGGGUGUUUCAAGAGGGCGGGCUAACGAAGUUGUUAGGCCUGUUUGAGCCAGGAGAAAAGUUCUCUUUCUCCCCGUAUGCCGGAGGACUUUUGACCGGCGUGAUGUGGCUCGACUCGGUCCCGUCACAACUCUGGUUAGCCUAAUCCGAGUCUUUUAUUGGUAAAGUAGUCUCCGACAUCGAAGAGUAAAUCGCAACACAAGAGGGGAAGUUUGUACUCUGACGUGUACUCUGGUCCUUGUUCCAACGAUCAAUGUCUUUACUGAGGUCAUCGUGGUAUAAAGGUGGAACUUAGUACCGUAAGCAGUAGUAACGGUGAGGUAUAACGAUAUGGAAACAGUCACAUCGUGAAGUGGGCAAGUACAGGUUGUGUAAGAAAGUGAGGACG
rnacentral:rRNA from 1 species